rnacentral:lncRNA from 1 species
CCUCCUAUCCCUGGGGAGGGCAGUGAGCCACCCUGCUAGGCAGGUAUUAGCAAUUCAAUGGCUUUCUUAUGAACACUCCGACCCUAUCAUUGCCAUUCCCUUUGGACCCCCAAAAAUAUUGGUAAUUUUUCUUAUUGUCACACAGGACCCAAAUGUCAGUAGUUACACGUGAGACAGGACAAACCCUGAGCAUAACACCUGAUCAACACAGGGUUAAAUUCACAGGGAUCGAUGGUGUGGAAAAACAAUGCCCCACUGCAAAAAUUUCACUCUGGCUGCCAGAGGAAUGAAAAUUAACAAGGGUAGAAGUAUUAGUUGGUGCUGCAUAUACUAAUAUUUUAGGAUUUGACAUGCUGCGUGGCUGUAUGUGGAAACUCCCUGACGGAACUGUGUGGACUUUCGCGACACAUCAAAGGGAUUCAGGCGCAGUGAGACUGAGUCUGUUACAAACAUCCAUACUCUUAUCCCCCAGUAAAAUCAUUAAUGGUCGGCAAUAUCUGUUGUCAGCAGCAGCACUUACGGGGAUUGACAGGGUGGUAACAGAAUUGGAAGAACGAGGCUUUAUUAAAAGGACCCAUUCACCUUACAAUUCACCAGUGUGGCCGGAAUCCUGAGUGAACUGUGUAUGGACAGCUGGAGGAUGACGAAUCAACAGUUUGGAUUACUAAUGCUAUGCUUUACCCUGACCUUAAUGCAAUUACAGACCUUAAAGGAAACUUAGCUACUGGGGUUGUGCAUGGAGCUGAGGUGUUUCACCGUGGCAUCUAACCAGGCAUUAUCACGGUAUAGCGCAAUUGGAACACCUCGGAACAAAAAGGAUCCAAAUCUCUCUGCUUUAGUUUUACAUGGGGAUAAAGUAUUUUCAAAAGAUGAAUGGAGUUGGAAUGAUUCCCUAAGAAUGGCUGAACUUCAAGCCAUGUCUGGCCAGACAAUACAAAUUGGUUGCUGAAUAACUAACGGAUCCACUUACAAUAGGCCGACUGAAAUUAGGACAGUUCAUGCAGAUUCUACCAGAUCACAACAUUAUAGUACUGAUUGUACCAAAAUAACUGAACCAAAUUUUGAUUGCUGGCACAGUUUUACUUUCACUAAACCUGUAAUUGUGUACUUUGGGGUUACAGAGGCACAGAGUUACUAUCUGAAUUUAUGGGUAAUACAGAAACAUCAUCGACUGCAAAGAAUUAGAAGCCUCUGCCCCCGCAGAUAUUUGAAAAUGAACCAACUCGGCCUCCCAUUGGUCUAAGUCCUUCCAUCUUCAACCCUGGUCCUCACAUAAUUAAAAAUGUGGGACAACAACAAGUCCUCUUUAACCCUAGCUGAUCUUUAAAAAGGGUAGAUGCAAUUGUGUUGUUGGGAAUAGGAUUAGGUAUAUUAAAUG